rnacentral:rRNA from 1 species
AUUGAACGCUGGCGGCAGGCCUAACACAUGCAAGUCGAACGGUAACAGAAAGCAGCUUGCUGCUUUGCUGACGAGUGGCGGACGGGUGAGUAAUGUCUGGGAAACUGCCUGAUGGAGGGGGAUAACUACUGGAAACGGUAGCUAAUACCGUAUAACGUCGCAAGACCAGAGAGGGGGACCUUCGGGCCUCUUGCCAUCGGAUGUGCCCAGAUGGGAUUAGCUAGUAGGUGGGGUAAAGGCUCACCUAGGCGACGAUCCCUAGCUGGUCUGAGAGGAUGACCAGCCACACUGGAACUGAGACACGGUCCAGACUCCUACGGGAGGCAGCAGUGGGGAAUAUUGCACAAUGGGCGCAAGCCUGAUGCAGCCAUGCCGCGUGUAUGAAGAAGGCCUUCGGGUUGUAAAGUACUUUCAGCGGGGAGGAAGGGAGUAAAGUUAAUACCUUUGCUCAUUGACGUUACCCGCAGAAGAAGCACCGGCUAACUCCGUG